UAGGGAAUCUUCGGCAAUGGACGAAAGUCUGACCGAGCAACGCCGCGUGAGUGAAGAAGGUUUUCGGAUCGUAAAACUCUGUUGUUAGAGAAGAACAAGGACGUUAGUAACUGAACGUCCCCUGACGGUAUCUAACCAGAUAGCCACGGCUAACUACGUGCCAGCAGCCGCGGUAAUACGUAGGUGGCAAGCGUUGUCCGGAUUUAUUGGGCGUAAAGCGAGCGCAGGCGGUUUCUUAAGUCUGAUGUGAAAGCCCCCGGCUCAACCGGGGAGGGUCAUUGGAAACUGGGAGACUUGAGUGCAGAAGAGGAGAGUGGAAUUCCAUGUGUAGCGGUGAAAUGCGUAGAUAUAUGGAGGAACACCAGUGGCGAAGGCGGCUCUCUGGUCUGUAACUGACGCUGAGGCUCGAAAGCGUGGGGAGCAAACAGG
rnacentral:rRNA from 1 species